rnacentral:rRNA from 1 species
GAUUCGUCACACUAUCAUUAACUGAAUCCAUAGGUUAAUGAGGCGAACCGGGGGAACUGAAACAUCUAAGUACCCCGAGGAAAAGAAAUCAACCGAGAUUCCCCCAGUAGCGGCGAGCGAACGGGGAGGAGCCCAGAGCCUGAAUCAGCAUGUGUGUUAGUGGAAGCGUCUGGAAAGGCGCGCGAUACAGGGUGACAGCCCCGUACACAAAAGCGCAUGUGCUGUGAGCUCGAUGAGUAGGGCGGGACACGUGGUAUCCUGUCUGAAUAUGGGGGGACCAUCCUCCAAGGCUAAAUACUCCUGACUGACCGAUAGUGAACCAGUACCGUGAGGGAAAGGCGAAAAGAACCCCGGCGAGGGGAGUGAAAAAGAACCUGAAACCGUGUACGUACAAGCAGUGGGAGCACAGGUUUACCUGUGUGACUGCGUACCUUUUGUAUAAUGGGUC